UUUAGUUUUAUUUUUUGUAAAAAAACUGUCAAUUCGAUUUUUUUCAAAAUUUUAUCGAAUGUUGAGAACAAUAUUUCUUAUAAGUAAAAAUUAGUUAAAAGCUAUUCAGGCUUAUUCCGAUAGGCGUUUUGUUUUUAAACGCCAGUGUCGUUUGUCGUGGCGUCUCGUUUUUUCUUUGGUAUUCCGUAACUCAAACGCCGGAGUUUCUUUCGCUCUUACAUUCCACAUACGAUCCACUACAACAGCUGACAUUUGAAACUUCAAAAUUGUUUUUAAAUUGAAUACAUAAUUUCUUUUCUGAAAUUUAAUUUGUAAAAUUUGUUUAAAUUUCUUGUAAAUACAAAAAGAAACGGAAAAAUGUAUAGUGUAGCAAGUUAUUUUUCGUGGAUUCGUAGUGACGACGAAGAGAAAGAAAAAAAAAGGAAGAUAUAUUCGAUCUAAAGCAAAUCCUUUUGAUUUGCCCGAUUCAAAAUUCAAAAUGUAUUUUCGUCUGGACAAAGAGGCCUUCAAGUAUAUUUUUUGUUUGAUCAAAGACAGUUUUCCUCAGCAACGUUUUGUGGCAAUUCCAACGAUUUUGAAACUAGCUGCUACCCUUAGAUUUUUCGCCGGAGGAAGCUACCAAAAAGGGGUUGAAAACGACUUCAAUUUGGGAUUAGCGCAGCCUACUCAUAGCAAAAUUCUUAAGGAAAUGUUAAACACUCUCGAGGAAAAAGUUUGCCCCCUUUGGAUUAAGAUGAAUCUCUCAGAUGAAGAAAAAUCGGAAGCAAAAAUACAUUUUUUUCAACAAGCUGGAAUUCCAGGUGUUAUUGGGUGCGUCGAUGGAACACAUGUUAAAAUUUUCGCGCCUGAGAAAAUAGAUCAACACAGAUAUUACAACAGAAAAUAAUUUUUUAGUAUUAACGUGAUGCUGGUCUGUGAUAACAGAAUGCGUAUAAAAUACGUAGAUGCAAGACAUGCUGGAGCUAGCCAUCAUUCCCUAGUUUGGAAUGCUAGCGAGUUUCGAGGGUUUUUGAAAAGGAAUUAUGAUGGAGGUGAAAGAAAUACUUGUC